rnacentral:misc_RNA from 1 species
UUUUUUAAAUAUAUUAAUUAGAAAAUAUUAAAAUAAUAAAAUAUUUUAAAGUUAUUUUUAAUAAUAUUUAAAAUAAUAAUUUUAUUAAAAAAAUAAUUUAUAACCUUCAAAUUCAGGUCCAAUAAGGCAAUCAAUAUAUGUUUCUCCCCACUUACUUUCACUCUGUUUAUUUUGGGCCACAAAAGGUCAAAAGGUAUUUAUUAUUGGUUGGCUCUUGCUUUCUGGGAAGGGCACAAAGAGACAAAAAAUUUAAUUAAGUUGAAAUUUAAAGGUUAAAAAUUAAUAUUACAAUUUAAAUAAAAAAAAUAUUUAGAUUCGAUUUGAGAUCAAAAGUUAUUAAAACUCUUACCGGAUAAAACAGGCUGAACACCAUUUAGAAUGAGAGUAACAGCCAAGUAGGGGGUGAGCUCGGAGACUGCUUUGGCAACUUCUUCACCUUCGGUGAAAGCAUAGCUAAGGUAGUCCCGCAAUAUCAUCACGAUGAUGGCUGCGACUACAGCGAUAAUGAAAGAGCAUAGAUUCACAAUUAUCACGGAAAAUGCUGCUGAUUUUGGAUGUCCUGCUCCUAGCUCGUUGCUCACUCUCACGCUGGUUUUUCAUUUCAUUUACACAUUUUAUCUUCAUAUCAGCAUGCCCAUAAAACAUCAUUAACAUAUAAGGUUUAUAAAUUGAUCUGGAGUCAAUAAACUUACCUUGCAGCAGCAUUGAAACCAACUGAAAUCAUGUACACCCAUCCGGAUAAUGUCAUGCUGCAUGGAGAAUUGAAUUAGCAUUUGUUUUUAUAUAAAUAUAGGAUCAUAGGAUUCACCGCUGACACAUUAAUCUUUCUUGGAAAUCUUAUUUACAAGAAUAUAAAAAUAAUCUCAAUUUACUCACCAAACUGAGAGAGAAUCCAAUGCAAUCUCUGCAUUUUCCAGCAACCCCGCAAUCAACACCAGCACUUGAAAAUACCAGGUCUCCAAGCACAACAUCACUGCUGAUGCAGCUGACAACUUAAAGAAACCCCAGAGACCAAAGAAUGCCUGCACGCUAAAACCAGCCCAUGUUUUCCUACACUUCUUGCUCAUUACAAUGUAUAGAAACUGGGCAAUCACAAUUAACCACCAAGAUAAACUCAGGAUGAAGGCUGCACCUAACAAGCCCCAGUUCCACUUGAAAACUGCUAGCCAGGUAAAUAAGAUGUGCACCCCAAGUGCAACGAGUGAUAUGUAUGCACUGGGGGCGAUUAUGCUUUGUGAUUGCAAAAAUUUUUGUAUGGGAAAGUUAGCGGCAUACGCGAAAAUUUGAGGGAUGAGUCCAUAGACGAAAACUGCAGCUGCAGCUGCUAUUUCGUUUGGUUCACCCAGUAAGACCAAGAUGGGUUUGGAAAAGACAUAGAUCAGCGUGAGAGGGAUCCCAGUUGCCAUGAGGAGAAGUGUCGAUCUUUGGAGAUAUAUGCCUAGCAUUUCGUGUUUGUGCGCCCCAAAUGCUUGCCCACAAAGGGUUUCCACUGCACUUCCCAUGCCUAGCAUAAGGCCAUAAGCAAAUACUUGAAUACCAGUAUUGCCAAGGGACACAGCAGCAAGCUGAAGAGUACCAAGAUGACCACAGAAGAUCUGGGUUGACAUAGAAACCACAUUAUUCAACAAGUAAACGAUCACUGCUGGAGCUGCAAGUUGAAACAGCAACUUAAGCUCAACCCAGGACGCUGAUCUGAGCCUCUUAAAGGUUGAUGUGCGAGUAUCAUUUAGUAUGUCUUCUAGCUCAGAGGUGACUGCCUCAUGCCCAGACCUGAAGCUCUGGAGCAGAGGUUGAGAGUGAGAGAGCAUCAUCUUGGGAGAGUUACAAUGCUUUCUCUCUGUCUAUUACCCUAAUACAUCCUAGCCUAAAGCCAAGCACAUUUAUAAAUGAGCAUUUGCAUUAGGGCUUGCUUGUGAUCAAGUUGGUGACAGCCAGCGGAUGUCAAUUUUGAAUUGGUUGUCGGGGUGGAAUGGUCAAUAAGACUGCUAAUUUCUCCAAUAAUACAGAAAUCAUACUUUUUAAUUUUUUUUUUUCA